rnacentral:rRNA from 1 species
AGAGUUUGAUCAUGGCUCAGAACGAACGCUGGCGGCAUGCCUAACACAUGCAAGUCGAACGAAGCCCCGACCUCGGUUGGACGCUUAGUGGCGCACGGGUGCGUAACGCGUGGGAAUCUGCCCUUGGGUUCGGAAUAACAGUUAGAAAUGACUGCUAAUACCGGAUGAUGUCUUCGGACCAAAGAUUUAUCGCCCAAGGAUGAGCCCGCGUAGGAUUAGGUAGUUGGUGGGGUAAAGGCUCACCAAGCCGACGAUCCUUAGCUGGUCUGAGAGGAUGAUCAGCCACACUGGGACUGAGACACGGCCCAGACUCCUACGGGAGGCAGCAGUGGGGAAUAUUGGACAAUGGGCGAAAGCCUGAUCCAGCAAUGCCGCGUGAGUGAUGAAGGCCUUAGGGUUGUAAAGCUCUUUUACCCGGGAUGAUAAUGACAGUACCGGGAGAAUAAGCUCCGGCUAACUCCGUGCCAGCAGCCGCGGUA